rnacentral:rRNA from 1 species
GUCUACAUUAGAUACCCCUGUAGUCCCAGCCGUAAACUAUGCUCGCUAGGUGUCAGGCAUGGCGCGACCGUGUCUGGUGCCGCAGGGAAGCCGUGAAGCGAGCCACCUGGGAAGUACGGCCGCAAGGCUGAACUUAAAGGAAUUGGCGGGGAGCACCACAACGGGUGGAGCCCUUGCGGUUUAAUUGGACUCAACGCCGGGAAGCUCACCGGAUAAGACAGCGGAAUGAUUGCCGGGCUGAAGACUCUGCAUGACUAGCUG